UACAGAGGUCUCAAGCGUUGUUCGGAUUCAUUGGGCGUAAAGGGCGCGUAGGCGGCGGGGUAAGUCGGGUGUGAAAUCUCAGGGCUCAACCCUGAAACUGCACUCGAUACUGCUCUGCUUGAGGACUGGAGAGGAGACUGGAAUUCACGGUGUAGCAGUGAAAUGCGUAGAGAUCGUGAGGAAGACCAGUGGCGAAGGCGGGUCUCUGGACAGUUCCUGACGCUGAGGGCGCGAA
rnacentral:rRNA from 1 species